rnacentral:rRNA from 1 species
CGCGUGCACUGGUUCGGCCGGGCCUUUCCCUCUGGGGAGCCUCAUGCCCUUCACUGGGUGUGCUGGGGAACCAGGACUUUUACUGUGAAAAAAUUAGAGUGUUCAAAGCAGGCCUAUGCUCGAAUACAUUAGCAUGGAAUAAUAGAAUAGGACGUGUGGUUCUAUUUUGUUGGUUUCUAGGACCGCCGUAAUGAUUAAUAGGGACAGUCGGGGGCAUUAGUAUUCAAUUGUCAGAGGUGAAAUUCUUGGAUUUAUUGAAGACUAACUACUGCGAAAGCAUUUGCCAAGGAUGUUUUCAUUAAUCAGGAACGAAAGUUAGGGGAUCGAAGGCGAUUAGAUACCGCCCUAGUUCUGACCGUAAACGAUACCAUCUAGCGAUCCGAUAGGGUCUAUCUAGCCUUGUCGGGGAGCUUCCCGGAAACGAAAGUCUUUCGGUUCCGGGGGUAGUAUGGUUGCAAAGCUGAAACUUAAAGAAAUUGACGGAAGGGCACCACCAGGAGUGGAGCUUGCGGCUUAAUUUGACUCAACACGGGAAAACUCACCCGGUCCGGACACCGUAAGGAUUGACAGACUGAUAGCUCUUUCUUGAUUCGGUGGUUGGUGGUGCAUGGCCGUUCUUAGUUGGUGGAGUAAUUUGUCUGGUUUAUUCCGAUAACGAGCGAGACUCUAGCCUGCUAAAUAGAACGAGGAUAAACCUUUUCAUAGGUCCUCGAUGCUUCUUAGAGGAAUUAGCGG